GCUAUUAUAGUUCAGUGGUAGAACACAUCCUUGGUAAGGAUGAAAGGCAAGUUCAAUUCUCGCUAAUAGCACCA
rnacentral:tRNA from 1 species